CCUCCAGCUGAGGAUGCCGGAGGCUUCUAGAAGCUGGAAAAAGCAAGGAAACCGAUGCUCCCCCAGAACCUCCACGAGGAACCCUGGUCACGCCUUGAGUUUAGCCCGUGACACCCAUCUCUGACCCACAGGGCCGUAAGACGGUACAUUGUGCUGUUUGAAGCCACCAAGUCCACGGUGAUUUAGUACGGCAGCGAUAGGACACAGCACAGAUGGACGGAGGGACGUGGGACGGACAGACGUCCAACCAGGGCCUCUGCACCUGGGAAGGCGUCCUGGCAGGUGGAGAAGUCAGAGACCCCCGGCAGCCGAGCCAACACCACAGGCCCUGCGAGCCUCCUUCCGCCCACCUCGACGCAGCACACGGCUCGCGCACGCCUGCAUGCACGCGCUUACCCACACCACGCGGACGAGGGGCUCCACCCGGCUCGGCCGGCCUCGAACUGCCGACCUCGGCCAGGUCCCUGCCCCCCCCCCCCCCCCCGUGGGCUGCGGGAGCUCGGGCCUUUGGAGGUGGGGUGGGGGGUGGGGACAUCGGGUCAUCGCGGGGAAGGGGAGCCGCGGCCGGGUGUGAGGGGGCGUCCGCCCUGGCCCUCACUCAUGUUUCUGACCACGAGGCUUCCUCCCCCGCGCCCCUCUGGGGAGGGACUGUAAUUAACUUCUUCCUGUUCAGAUCAGGAGUCUGUUUCCAAAAACAUAUUUCGAAGGAUUAUUUUGCAAA